rnacentral:rRNA from 1 species
UGAACGCUGGCGAGAUGCCUUACACAUGCAAGUCGUACGAGGAUUUUUAAUUCAAGUGGCGGACGGGUGAGUAACACGUAAGAAUUUGCCUUUAGGAGGGGGACAACAACUGGAAACGGUUGCUAAUACCCCAUAUGCUUUCGAGUGAAACGGAAUUUUCCGCCUAGAGAGAAGCUUGCGGCUGAUUAGCUUGUUGGUAAGGUAAUGGCUUACCAAGGCGACGAUCAGUAUCUGGUUUGAGAGGAUGAUCAGACACACUGGAACUGAGACACGGUCCAGACUCCUACGGGAGGCAGCAGUGGGGAAUUUUCCGCAAUGGGCGAAAGCCUGACGGAGCAAUCUCGCGUGAGGGAUGACGGCCUAUGGGUUGUAAACCUCUUUUUUCAGGGAGGAACAAAAUGACGUGUACCUGAAGAAUAAGCAUCGGCUAACUCC